AACGUCCUUGGGCAGAAGGUCUCCAAAACGGAAGUAAGAACCAUGUCUUUGACUGAGGAGCAGUACUUGCAGAUGACUCCUUAUUGGUGCCUCGGGCAUCAAGAGUGCUGGCAACAGAUGGUGCACAAGUGGUGCUCGGACGAGUGGGAGGAGUCGCACCACGCUUGUCGGGAGCGGCGUUUGAUGAUGCCAGGUGCACCACACCAUCAAGGCAGUCGCAGCCUCAGCGGAUACGCCGAAGCAUGGGUACGCGAAUGUAUUUAUUUAAUGUAAUACUCAAUUAUGCAUGAUUUCUAAUCGUCUUGCUUGUUUUCUUCCAGUCGUUGUCACAUGGUGGCCAGCCUUGCUCCCUCUUUCAGGCAUAUGCUAUGUCCCACAAGGGCAAGGCGACGUCUGACGUCAAAUACAACCCGGAGGAUGGGCCCGAGGCAUACAGCAACCCGAUGGCCCACGCCCGCCUCAGUGCGUACUCAGCGAUGGCAAGGGAUGUGCAUGGUCCAGAGUUUGAUCCGGCUACCGAGGACCUUGAUGGAGAAGUUGUUAUGAGGGUUGGAGGAGGUAAGCAUCAUGGGCGGUAUUGGCUUGCCGACGGCGCAAUUGACUCGUCCUCUACUCCUAGUCUAUCUCAGAUUAGAGCAAGAAGCACGAGUGCGAGCCCAGUCAUACGACCUCGGCAGGACACUUCACAGUACCGCAUACAGGCACUUCAGGCCCAAUUAGAAGAAGAGAGGAGGCUACGUGUGGAGAACGAGUAGAGGAUGAGGGACAUGUUUGCCUACAUGCAGACUCUUGGCGCCGCAGCGGGUGUAUCUCCACCACCUUCGUUGUUCGCUUCACCUCUACGGCCUCCUGCUGAGUUUUCUACUCCUGUGAGUAUAAAUAAGUUUUAGCCAUGUCUAAUCUUCAUUCAUCUUGUCUCACACAUGCGAUCGCUUCUCCUCCUUGCAGAAUCAAUCGGCGGCCUCAAACUCCCCUUAUGUUUCUCCAACUCAGCCGGAUUGGCGUCCUUCAUGAUGAUUUUUUAUCACUUAUCUUAUUUCUGUGGACAUCUUAUAUUUUUGUGACAUCUCAACAUUAUGUAGACUAUAUUGUGAGACAUGCAUUUGUGA